UUAGGUUUACUCUUUAAAUUGUUGGGUAUGUAUAUAGUGUGAGACUUUUUUACAUUGACCUUGCUCGCUUAGUAAGCAAAAAUAGCAUGUUGAGUCAAUGCUUGUAUUAGUCAAUGCAUAUUAUUCAGGCUAUCCACUGUUGCUCUCUGAUUAAUUUGGCACAACCACUGAUUGUUGUCAGGUGUGAACCCUUUCCUGUGGAGAGACCACUGUUUCUCAGAACCCCUGUUUUUCUACUUAGGAGAAAGGCCCUAACAUGGCAUUGGUCUUCAGCUUGUCCACUCAUGUUUCUCCUCAUCACUGGGAUGGAGACAUCCAAAAGUCUAAACCAGCGCUCAGAGUUGAAGCAGGUCAUCCAGGUGGAAUCUGGGAAGGAUGCAGUCCUAGACUGCUCUGUGAAGUUCAGUGAGGAAUCCCCUGGUAAUGUAAACAUAAAGCAGGUUGUGGAGGCUGGACCAGAAUGGUCAUUACAAAGGUGAACCUGUGUUCACAUAUAUAUAUACAAUCCUCCAAUCCCAGGAUGCUGCUGAGCCCAAAAUAUCAGCUUUCCAUGCCACCUGCCAAUGAGAGACAAAGUUGUGUCCCUGUUGGUUAAAGAAACCCAGCCUGAAGAAGAGGGUCCGUAUGAGUGUGUGGUGAACACUGACAGUGGAAACACAAAUUGUAACUUCAUGCUGAAGGUCACAGUAUGAGACCAGCACCAGGUUCCUGAGAAUGCUGCAAAUCAAAAGGAAAUUCCAAAGAACAGUUACAAGAAUGUGACUGCUGUAUUUGUGAGCCUGAGGAUACAGCAGUCCCAGCAGAGCACGACUCCAGCACCAGGACAGGACUGUUUCCGUAGCGACAGAUGUAUUAUCCGGAGUGUUAUGGGCUCUCUUCCCUGUCGGUGUCAUGUCUGCUCUGUCUCUCACGCCACACAGCUAACUGAAUGUUAAUGCUUUGCCUGGAAGAGAGAACAAUCUGGUUCAACACUAUUGUGUUCCCCCUCUGCAGGAGAAAUGGAGUGCAUGCAUUAUCCUGCUACCAAGCUAAGUGUUAACAGCAUUGUCUGUAGUUGUUAACCACACCAGACUAUUCUUUCAUAUAUUGUGACUAAAACCUGAUGUUAGAGUUCAGUGUGUCAUCGGGAUCUCUGUUGAAAAGUUUGUUUCUGUUGGAGAGUCUGUCCUCUCUGUCUCUGUCCUCUCUGUCUCUCUCUCUGUUGUGGUUAGAAUGGAUAGUUCAGAGUAACAUUCAUUCAUGACGUUAUAGAUUAGCUGUUUUGGCGGUUGUCGGUCUUCGCGUUCAAUGAUACCGAAUUCCUAGCUGCAGACUAGUAAUUAAUAUCAAAGACUUGUUCUUAUUCUGUCGGUAUCGAUAGUCUAAGAGUUUAACCACAUGGUAUGGUUAAAAGUUCAGCAAGAGAAAUGCAUGGUCUGCAACCUUUAGCCAUCUCGUAAUUGAGGUAAGCUUGGCCUCCUCUCAAACCUUGCCCCUCAUUAUCAAGGUAAGCUGGUCUCGUCUCAAACCUUAGCCCUCUCGUUAUCGAGGUAAGCUGGUCUGGUGAUAGAAAACCUAGGUGGGGAUUUUAUUUAGAAGAGCAGAAAAGGGCCAGUCCCAUGACACCAGACCAUAACUGUGCUCAUGGGUGGUCCUCUGAUUAGUUAAACUCCAAAAGGGAAUUGGAGUUUCCUUCAUUAAACAGUCCAAAAUCACAUUACACAAUUUCACAAACAGUUCCAUCCUCACUCAUUCAUUUUAUACAACAAUUAGAUGUAAGCCUCAUAACUGAGGCUAUUAUAUAAACAGCGUUAUGGUAAUGUGGCCGUAUUGUCUCUCAUGAGUUUCACAAAAUUGUACCAAACGGACCAGUUCGUAGCUGGAUUCUUCACCAAUCUUUUAUACAUUCUCCAGAACAUAAAUAUUGUUCGGACCUCCAGUUCUGUGAGGUGGAAGAAAUUCCUUUGUUCUCUCUAUAAAAACUCACUCUCUAUACUGUGGCCAUGAGGAGAUAGUCUCCUCCAGGAAUUUACGACCUCUCUGAACACAGCAGCCUGGGUGUAGGAGACAGAGGGAGAUGGUGCUCGCUGUGUCCAAAGAGGGCAAUGUCAUGACACCUGAAAGGCCGCUCAGCAAGGAAGAAGCCACUGCUCCAAAACUGCUAUUAAAACUACGAUUUGCAACUGCACAUGUGGACAAAUAUCGUACUUUUUGGAGAAAUGUCCUCUAG
rnacentral:lncRNA from 1 species